UACGAAGGGGGCUAGCGUUGUUCGGAAUCACUGGGCGUAAAGGGCGCGUAGGCGGCUUUGUAAGGCGGGGGUGAAAGCCUGUGGCUCAACCACAGAAUUGCCUUCGAUACUGCAUGGCUUGAGACCGGAAGAGGUAAGUGGAACUGCGAGUGUAGAGGUGAAAUUCGUAGAUAUUCGCAAGAACACCAGUGGCGAAGGCGGCUUACUGGUCCGGAUCUGACGCUGAGGCGCGAAAGCGUGGGGAGCAAACAGG
rnacentral:rRNA from 1 species